rnacentral:rRNA from 1 species
AGUCGUAACAAGGUCUCCGUUGGUGAACCAGCGGAGGGAUCAUUACCGAGUUUACAACUCCCAAACCCAAUGUGAACCAUACCAAACUGUUGCCUCGGCGGGGUCACGCCCCGGGUGCGUCGCAGCCCCGGAACCAGGCGCCCGCCGGAGGGACCAACCAAACUCUUUCUGUAGUCCCCUCGCGGACGUUAUUUCUUACAGCUCUGAGCAAAAAUUCAAAAUGAAUCAAAACUUUCAACAACGGAUCUCUUGGUUCUGGCAUCGAUGAAGAACGCAGCGAAAUGCGAUAAGUAAUGUGAAUUGCAGAAUUCAGUGAAUCAUCGAAUCUUUGAACGCACAUUGCGCCCGCCAGUAUUCUGGCGGGCAUGCCUGUCCGAGCGUCAUUUCAACCCUCGAACCCCUCCGGGGGGUCGGCGUUGGGGAUCGGGAACCCCUAAGACGGGAUCCCGGCCCCGAAAUACAGUGGCGGUCUCGCCGCAGCCUCUCCUGCGCAGUAGUUUGCACAACUCGCACCGGGAGCGCGGCGCGUCCACGUCCGUAAAACACCCAACUUUCUGAAAUGUUGACCUCGGAUCAGGUAGGAAUACCCGCUGAACUUAAGCAUAUC